GGAUGCGAAGAUACCAGCACUAAAGCUCUGGAUCCCAUGAGAACUUCAAAGUUAAGCGUGCUUGGGCCAGAGUAGUACUAGGAUGGGUGNNNNCCUGGGAAGUCCUCGUGUUGGAUUCC
rfam:Hordeum vulgare subsp. vulgare, WGS project CAJW01000000 data, contig: morex_contig_648345